rnacentral:rRNA from 1 species
AGAGUUUGAUCCUGGCUCAGAUUGAACGCUGGCGGAAUGCUUUACACAUGCAAGUCGAACGGCAGCACGGGUGCUUGCACCUGGUGGCGAGUGGCGAACGGGUGAGUAAUGCGUCGGAACGUGCCGAGUAAUGGGGGAUAACGCAGCGAAAGCUGUGCUAAUACCGCAUACGCCCUGAGGGGGAAAGUGGGGGAUCGCAAGACCUCACGUUAUUCGAGCGGCCGACGUCUGAUUAGCUAGUUGGUGGGGUAAAGGCCUACCAAGGCGACGAUCAGUAGCGGGUCUGAGAGGAUGAUCCGCCACACUGGGACUGAGACGCGGCCCAGACUCCUACGGGAGGCAGCAGUGGGGAAUUUUGGACAAUGGGGGCAACCCUGAUCCAGCCAUUCCGCGUGAGUGAAGAAGGCCUUCGGGUUGUAAAGCUCUUUCAGCCGGAACGAAACGGUAGAGGCUAAUACUCUCUGCUAAUGACGGUACCGGCAGAAGAAGCACCGGCUAACUACGUGCCAGCAGCCGCGGUAAUACGUAGGGUGCGAGCGUUAAUCGGAAUUACUGGGCGUAAAGCGUGCGCAGGCGGAUUGUUAAGCAAGAUGUGAAAGCCCCGGGCUUAACCUGGGAAUGGCAUUUUGAACUGGCAGUCUAGAGUGCGUCAGAGGGGGGUGGAAUUCCACGUGUAGCAGUGAAAUGCGUAGAGAUGUGGAGGAACACCGAUGGCGAAGGCAGCCCCCUGGGAUGACACUGACGCUCAUGUACGAAAGCGUGGGUAGCAAACAGGAUUAGAUACCCUAGUAGUCC